CUUUGCCUGGUUUCGGUAUGAGGGUUAUGUGUGCUUCCAGUGAUUGGGGGGGAAGGGCCUGGUAUUGUGUAAGGGAGUUGAGGGCUUCUACUAACGGUGUUGUCAGGUGUUCUUGGAAUGUUUUGUAGUAUUUGGCCGUAAACCCAUCUGGUCCUGGGCUUUUACCCAAUGGGAGGUGUCGUAUGGCGGUCUGUACCUCGUCUUGUGUAAUGAGGGCAUCCAGGGAUGAGAGUGUGUGAGUCGG